rnacentral:rRNA from 1 species
AUUGAACGCUGGCGGCGUGCCUUACACAUGCAAGUCGGACGAGUGGCGAACGGGUGAGUAAUGAAUCGGAACGUACCGAGUAAAGGGGGAUAACUGCUCGAAAGGGUAGCUAAUACCGCAUAUUAUCAGAGCGGCCGAUGUCUGAUUAGCUGGUUGGCGGGGUAAAGGCCCACCAAGGCGACGAUCAGGAGCGGGUCUGAGAGGAUGAUCCGCAACACUGGGACUGAGACACGGCCCAGACUCCUACGGGAGGCAGCAGUGGGGAAUUUUGGACAAUGGGCGCAAGCCUGAUCCAGCCAUGCCGCGUGUCUGAAGAAGGCCUUCGGGUUGUAAAGGACUUUUGUCAGGGAAGCGGUACCUGAAGAAUAAGCACCGGCUAACUACGUGCCAGCAGCCGCGGUAAUUC